GGCGCCCGACCCGUCGUCGCCAGCGACCACAAGCAACGACCGUUGCACCUCUCCGCGCGCCAUCCCGAGGCCCCAGCCACGCCGCGCCACCCCGAGGCCCCAGCUACGCCGCGCCACCAUCCUCCUCGACCUCGCCUCUCCGUGCGAACAAACGGCGUCACCGCCGGCGGCCACGGCCACCGUGCUUGAACUGACGGGCGUCGAUGGCACGGGGCUCAUCUUCGAGGUGUUCGCCAUGCUGGCCGACACAUUCUCCGGCGGGGUCUCUUCAUGGCGACGGUGGCGUUGCACCUGUGAGAAAGACAGGUAAGGGAAGAUAUAAAGGAGGAGAGGCAGGGAGAAGGAGAGGGUGCGAGGAACGACGUGGAGGUCCCGUCUCCCACGUGGGGGGGGGCGACGAGGUGCACGGCGGCAGCAGCUGUCCUGCGUGCGGCCAGAAAGAGAGCCGGGAUGAAGAAGGGAAGGAAGAGGUGGCGGGAUCCUGCGGGGCUGGAUUGGUGCCCCGGUGGUGCUACUGCUGCCGUUGGACGCCGGUCGAAGGGACAAGUCCCUAGAGAAGGACGGGGUUCAAGUUGUUGGGCCGGUGGCAGGGGCAGCAUGAUGUUUUCGUCAGGUAACAACCUAGCCAUCGACUCAAGAUUUAACUGAACCAAUUCCUUUAAUUAAAGCUCCAAAUCGUUGUUAUUUGAUUCACUAACUGGUUACUAGCAACAACUAAUUGAACAUAUAAUUGUUGAUUUCUGUACAAACAAUAUCUUUAGUUGUUUCAGAUCUUCAAUAAGGAUCAUCAAGCCCUCUUGUUUUUAUCUGAAGAAUAGACAUUGUAAUUGUGCCUCCAUUAUGUCUAAAAGUCAGGUAUCGGAAAAAUGUCAUUAGCAUAUCUCUGUCACGAUGGAAGAUUGGUUAGACAGAAAAAGGACCUCUGGUUAUGUAUGACAUGAUGCAAGGCACAUAUCUCUGAAUGAAGCGCAACAAGAAUUGACAUCCUCUAAUGCUAACUGUUGACCAUUCUUUUCUGAAGUAUCAGGUCAGUAUCCCAUGUGCCCCCUAUUCAUCUGUCAUCGCUGCAUAAAAAUUUAAUGCAGUUUUUAAGCCUAUGUUUAAGGGUAGCUACAUCUUUAUGGACCAACCAUAUUAACUUUUUGAGAUAACAAAUCAACCUUCAUCAUGUACUUAUGUUGUAACUUCUCCCAUCUUUUGUGCUAUUAUCUAAAAGAGGUGUGGAUUGGAAUCAGUUUUUUUUGCUGCACCCCCAUUCUGACGAGGUCACACACACAUACCACUGGGAAUCCCACGAACCCUAUGUCCGAGCACGAGCGACGGCAAUAGCAUCUGCAAGUACUUGACCAACACGCUACCCGGGUGUGGUAUCCACUAUUGAGGCCAAGCAACCAAGCUCGGUCAUCCUUAAGUGUGUUUGUGUCCACCACCUGAUGAAGAACGGGGAGAAGAUUGCUGACUUUGUGCCUAAUGAUGGUUGCCUGAACUUCGUAGAGCAAACUGACGAGGUGUUGAUUGCUGAAUUUGGUCUUAAGAGGCACGUCGUGGGAAAUAUCCCUUGUGGCAGGUUCAAAGUUGUGAUGGUAUCUGGUGUCUCCCAGCGAGAUUUGUUCCUUCUCUUAACAGUUACUAUUAAGAACAAAUUUAUGUUUCCAUCAAAAAAGUUGGCCGGCCCCAGCAAAAAAAAGAACAGUUCCAGCAAAAAAAGAUCGCCGCCGUGGUCACAGGUGUCAACAAGCAGUCUUCAGAAUCAUCAAUAAGCCAACAGCGAGAAAUAAGUUUAAGAAUUGAGUUCCCUUAACAGGGAAAUAAGGAAGGGAAGAAACAAAUAGGGAACAAUCAGACGAAGCAUCAAGGAAAAUGGAUUGAACAAUCAGAUGAAGCAUCCAUCUCGAGGAGAAGCAUGGUCUGCAAGGAGACCAAUCAUCUUGAGGUGGUUCUUUCAGCUACUGCAUGUUCCAUUAUGGAGAAGGGUACUUAGUCGAUCUUAGGAGCCAGACUCUGCUUUCCUUGCAGGGAGAAUUUUAAUAAAUGGUGAUAUUACUCUCCCAACAAUUCUUUUAUCACUACAAAAUGUGUAGGAACCUUAUUUUUCCCUGAGAUACUGUAAUUGAGGAACCGAGAGCCGCGACGGAACAUUGUAUUUUGCACUACAUCCUGUAUUUGCUUUGUGGGAAGCUGGCUUGAGGACAAGUAUGUCACUCCAUUUUCGCUGUGAGUGAUUCUUCAUAUGACGGUAGUGUUGCUUGUGUUCAUAAUCAGUCUCUAUGUAAUGUUUCGGUAGAGAGAGUUGUAACGCCUCGGUCUUCUUGCUGAGUUGCAGAAUGCUGUUGUUCACUCUGCAAUAGGAUGGAUGAACAUGGUUUUCUUUAUUUUA